AAGCCACACACCACUCUCACGUACACUCACCCACCGGCGCCCCUCUUCACCGCCAGCUCCCCUCUACACCGCCGGCGCCCCUCUUCACCGCCGUCGUCUCUGCUCUGCUCUCGCAUAACAUCCCGCUGGAGGAUGAGAUAUUCGAAGCUGUCUUGCUGUGGUAUGUUGCAGGCUGGUAGGGUGCUUCUGUGCUGCUGUCUUGCUACGGCUGUUGCUCCUGCUACUACUCUGCUGCUACUCUGCUGUCUUGCUACGGCUGCUGUGCUGCUACGUCUUCUACGGCUGCUGCUACUCUGCUGCUACUCUGUUGUCAUGCUACGGCUGUGCUGCUACGGCUGCUGCUGCAUGAUCUUACACCAAUUGAAAUUGCGGCUAGGGAAGAUAAUCUUGCAAUUGUAGACACCCUCUUUGAUUUUACUGCUCCUAUUCCUCAUAUUUCGACCUGGGACGACUUUCAUGGAAUAUACGACUAUAUCAACUCUCAGGAAGCAAAAGAUCAGCGGGAACUCCAAGCUGAAAUAAAAUUCUUCGAAGCAAAAUAAAAUGGAGCACAAGCCACCAGAAUAAAUGAUUAUAUGACUGCAGUUUACUGGUAUACAGAGGUUUGGUUCAGGACAAGCAAUUUGUGAAAUUACUUGUACUGAACCGUCCCAAGCAAUUGAAUGCACUCUCCCGCUAUAUGAUAGAUCUAUAUAAUACCAUGGUUGAGAAGGAGGGUACAGAUGGUGAAGCAGAGGCUCUGAAGGCCUGUAAGAUCUGGAAAAGGUUUUCACAACUCCAAGGGAGGGGCCCUUCACCAAAGAGGAGUUGGAUGAAGUUCGAGAAAAGUGGGCUACUUACUUCAACGAUUGUGAAUUACCCUCAGUGUAAUAAUUAGAGCAGGCUUGUAGUUAUUCGUGACUCUUACAUUAUUUUGUUAUUUAUCGAUUUAAUUAAUUACAUUUGAAUUAAUUCGGAGAUAUUAUUGGAAAUUUGAAAUUUAUAUCAUUUUUGA